GAUGAACGCUGGCGGCGUGCUUAACACAUGCAAGUCGAACGAGAAAUGGAGACGGAAACCUUCGGGCGGAAGGCUUCAUUUCGAGUGGCGGACGGGUGAGUAACGCGUGGGUAACCUGCCUCAUACAGGGGGAUAACAGUUGGAAACGACUGUUAAUACCGCAUAAGACCACAGCACCGCAUGGUGCGGGGGUAAAAACUCCGGUGGUAUGAGAUGGACCCGCGUUCGAUUAGCCAGUUGGCGGGGUAACGGCCCACCAAAGCGACGAUCGAUAGCCGAUCUGAGGGGAUGACCGGCCACAUUGGGACUGAGACACGGCCCAAACUCCUACGGGAGGCAGCAGUGGGGAAUAUUGCACAAUGGGGGAAACCCUGAUGCAGCGACGCCGCGUGAGUGAAGAAGUACUUCGGUAUGUAAAGCUCUAUCAGCAGGGAAGAAAAUGACGGUACCUGAGUAAGAAGCCCCGGCUAACUACGUG
rnacentral:rRNA from 1 species